UUUACUUUGAAAAAAUUAGAGUGUUCAAGGCGGGCCCGACGCGCCCGGAUAACCGCGCAUGGAAUGAUGGAACAGGACCGCCGUCCCGUUCGGCCGGUCUCAGGGACGGAGGUAAUGAUUGAAAGGGACGGCCGGGGGCAUUCGUACCGCGGCGGGAGAGGUGAAAUUCGAUGAUCGUCGCGAGACGGCCCAGAGCGAAAGCAUCUGUCAAGAGCGCUUUCUUUAAUCAAGAACGAAAGUCGGAGGCU
rnacentral:rRNA from 1 species